UCAUAAACAUACUGCUAAAAAUUCUAAACUUCAGGUCUAAUAAUAUAAACUACAUCUAAGUAUUUUGCAGUCCACAGGAUAAUUGAGGGAAGUUAGUUCUGAGAUGAUGAAAAUAAUAUAUGGUCUCAAAGGAAGUCGGCCUCAUUGUGAACAAGACGAAAUCCCGCUUUAUAUAAACCAAGGCAGGUUGGAAAAGUCCAGAAGCAAAUUUUAGAAGAAAAAUAUUGUACUGAAUAACUACAAUGGGCCAUUGAAGAAGAGAAGACGGCACAAGAGGGAAAUAUGGGCCUUAGAAAAAGAUAUCACGCCUCUAUCCCAUAAAGAGGUAGGCAGAGCACAUGAACUACUAAGUUUCUGUGCCACUCUUGGCAAAAAGGGGUGGAAAGAAAUCCAAAUUAUGACAUUGAAGAAGUGAAGACUAAAUAAGUAAACCAAAGGCCCCAAGAAUAUAAAAGACUGCAAUGAAAUUGUCAAGAAGAGGGUGCGAGAGCAGAA
rnacentral:lncRNA from 1 species